GUUCAGUCCCAUCCAGGGCGGGCCGAGGGGCAGCUGGGCGGGGACGCGCAGCCUUUGGAUCCAAGACAUCGAGAGCUGUCCCUGGAAGCUGUUCAUGAAGAGGGAGUACUGUCUUCUUCACUGAAGGAAGGGAAACUCUCCAAACCAGCAUUUCUCAAACUUAGCAGGUCUGGUGACUUGCUGAACCAAUAAAGAAAAUAAUACCUUGGAUCCUUCCUGGUUGUUUUGGUAUGAUUGUUGGGCAUCCAAGAACUACCAUAAUUCUUUGCUACUUGAAUUAUGAAACAGCCUUUUGAGAUUUUUUUGAGCCACUGGUGUUUCUGUAACUUCCCCGCUGGUGGUGGAAUGUGGUCUGGAUGGCUUUGGUUUUCUUUUUGGUAGCUAGUGUGAACUUUGAUCUAAUCUGUGCAUGGCAAUCUGGAUUGGCUUCAUCUGCCAUGUUUACUGGCAAUUUUGCUAGAAUGCAGUGACUAGUGUUUUCAAGCCUGACUUUUUAAACUUAUUAUUUUUGGGUGCUACUAUUAACUCAUUUGGGACUCCAAGAGGUUGAAUGAUCUCACAUACUAAGGAAAACUCUACUAAGGUAGUCCUUCAAGUUCAGGUGUUUCUAGGAGUCAGAGAUUAAGCUAAAGCACCUUGUAAAUCAUAUCAAGUUCUUUUAUUCUGUUUUCCACAGAAAUACCUUGUAGGGCAACUUGCCAUACGGAAUCACAAUACAUGAGGUGUUACACUGAAAUACUACAAGUUCUCACAGAGCACAGCAGGACACACACAUCAUUUACAAUGUUCAGAUAAAGGUCAUUGCACUUACAACUGUAAACUUCUUCUUUUGUUUGAUGGGUUGUUGGUUCUAUACAGAACUCUGCCGCCUCCAAAAUAAUACAAAAAAAGAAAAAAAAAAUUCGAAACUGAAGGCAGGAGGAGAGCAUGGACGGUACAUGUCAUGUGACAGCCACAACAGCUUUAUGGGACUCUGCUAUGCUUUGCAAGAAGGAAAACAGUUCAGAAAAGUUAAUUACAAACACCAGGCUUUGUUUGUUGAUUUUGUUUUUUCUACACAAAAGCAAGAGUUGGCAGGUGUGCUGGUCAUUGAGAUGGAGCCCCCACAAAAGGGGACUGUGAGUUGAUUGUUUUCUUGGGGAGUUGUUGUUUUUCUUCAUACCAUGUGAGACUUUUAUUUUACAUACUGUACAGGUAUUUACAAUGGAAGGGGUCAAGGGAGAUUGUAGCAGCCACUGUUGAGAAAAUCAAUAGGGAACACAAAUUCAGUCUAGAGUUCUGAAGAAGCAUCCUCAGAUUAUGCACUUGUCAUUGCUGGGAGCCUAAGAAAAAGAGAGGCUGGGUGGCUGGAAAGAAACUGGGUGAAAAAACAUGCUUGUCCUUGCCAGAUAGCUUGGCCUCUACAUUUGGAACCAAAUCCCUCUUCUCAGAAUUCAGUGUGUGAGUGAGUGAAUGAAUGGUGGGAGUCUCACUGCUUCAGUUGGCCAUUCUAGUUGAAAUAACUUCCCAAAAUGUAUUGCAUUUAUCCUGAAAAGAUGAUGUACCCAUAUGUUAAAUAAACUCUAUAUGUAAACCACACAUGAGGAAGUUCUACUGGGAAUAUUAGUUUUAAUCCUCCUGUUCUGUUAGAAAUGAUUUCCAGACUGCCCAUUAUUAAAAUAAUUCAAAUAUUCAGAUAGUUUUGCACUUACUGCAAACCUAGACUGAAGCACUGGUAUUAAACUAGAA